GAUUCUGGCUCAGAAUGAACGCUGGCGGCAUGGAUUAGGCAUGCAAGUCGAACGGCAGGGCAGCGAUGCCCGAGAGUGGCGAAAGGGUGAGCAACGCGUGGGGAACCUGCCCCGGGACCGGAACAAGCCUGUGAAAACGGGUCUGAAACCGGAUGAGGCCCCGCACCGCAUGGUGCGGCGGCGAAAUAUUCAUAGCCCCGGGAGGGCCCCGCGUCCCAUUAGCUUGUUGGCGGGGUGACGGCCCACCAAGGCGACGACGGGUAGGUGGUCUGAGAGGAUGGUCACCCACACUGGGACUGAGACACUGUCCAGACUCCUACGGGAGGCUGCAGUCGAGAAUCUUCCGCAAUGGGCGCAAGCCUGACGGAGCGAUGCCGCGUGGGGGAGGAAGGCCUUCGGGUUGUAAACCCCUGUCGGACGGGACGAAACCAAACGACGGUACCGUCCAAGGAAGCCACGGCUAACUACGUGCCAGCCGCCGC
rnacentral:rRNA from 1 species